rnacentral:rRNA from 1 species
CGAAAGCCUGACGGAGCAACGCCGCGUGAGGGAUGGAGGCCUUUGGGCUGUAAACCUCUUUUCUCAAGGAAGAAGAUCUGACGGUACUUGAGGAAUAAGCCACGGCUAAUUCCGUGCCAGCAGCCGCGGUAAUACGGGAGUGGCAAGCGUUAUCCGGAAUUAUUGGGCGUAAAGCGUCCGCAGGCGGCCGUUUAAGUCUGUUGUUAAAUCGUGGAGCUCAACUCCAUCACGGCAAUGGAAACUGUUCGGCUUGAGUAUGGUAGGGGCAGAGGGAAUUUCCGGUGUAGCGGUGAAAUGCGUAGAUAUCGGGAAGAACACCAGUGGCGAAAGCGCUCUGCUGGGCCAUUACUGACGCUCAUGGACGAAAGCCAGGGGAGCGAAAGGGAUUAGAUACCCCUGUAGUCCUGGCCGUAAACGAUGAACACUAGAUGUUGGGGGAAUCGACCCCCUCGGUGUCGUAGCUAACGCGUUAAGUGUUCCGCCUGGGGAGUACGCACGCAAGUGUAAAACUCAAAGGAAUUGACGGGGGCCCGCACAAGCCGUGGAGUAUGUGGUUUAAUUCGAUGCAACGCGAAGAACCUUACCAAGGCUUGACAUCCUGCGAAUCUCUAAGAAAUUAGAGAGUGCCUUCGGGAACGCAGUGACAGGUGGUGCAUGGCUGUCGUCAGCUCGUGUCGUGAGAUGUUGGGUUAAGUCCCGCAACGAGCGCAACCCACGUUUUUAGUUGCCAGCAUUCAGUUGGGCACUCUAGAAAGACUGCCGGUGACAAACCGGAGGAAGGUGUGGACGACGUCAAGUCAUCAUGCCCCUUACGCCUUGGGCUACACACGUACUACAAUGCUGCGGACAAAGAGUAGCGAUCUUGCGAAAGUUAGCUAAUCUCAUAAACCGUGGCUCAGUUCAGAUCGUAGGCUGCAACUCGCCUACGUGAAGGAGGAAUCGCUAGUAAUCGCAGGUCAGCAUACUGCGGUGAAUACGUUCCCGGGCCUUGUACACACCGCCCGUCACACCAUGGAAGUUGGCCAUGCCCGAAGUCGUUACUCUAACCUUUUGGAAGAGGGCGCCGAAGGCAGGGCUAAUGACUGGGGUGAAGUCGUAACAAGGUAGCCGUAGCGGAAGCUGCGGCUGGAUCACCUCCUAA